rnacentral:rRNA from 1 species
UACGUAGGUGGCAAGCGUUGUUCGGAAUUACUGGGCGUAAAGCGCGCGUAGGCGGCUCUUCAAGUCAGGCGUGAAAGCCCCGAGCUUAACUCGGGAACUGCGCUUGAUACUGUCGAGCUAGGGUGUGGAAGGGGCGAUUGGAAUUCCGUGUGUAGCGGUGAAAUGCGUAGAUAUACGGAGGAACACCAGAGGCGAAGGCGGAUCGCUGGGCCAACACUGACGCUGAUGCGCGAAAGCUAGGGGAGCAAACGGG